rnacentral:tRNA from 1 species
AGGCUUGUAGCUCAGGUGGUUAGAGCGCACCCCUGAUAAGGGUGAGGUCGGUGGUUCAAGUCCACUCAGGUCGA